GCAGACAUAUUCCAGCCAAUCAGCAGCAGACCCUCCCUCCCAGACCCUCCCACCUCCUGGACAGCAUCCAUUUUGAAGCUACAUUCUUAGUGAGCUGUCCAGGAGGUGGGAGGGUCUGGGAGGGAGGGUCUGCUGCUGAUUGGCUGGAAUGUGUCUG